GCGGGAGUAGUUCAGUGGUAGAAUAUUUCCUUGCCAAGGAAAGGGUCGCGAGUUCGAAUCUCGUCUCCCGCU
rnacentral:tRNA from 1 species